UCCAAGUUGCUUCGGCGGCGCGGCACCCCUUAACCGGGGCGCCGCAGCCCUGCCUCUCCGGAGGUUCGGGGCGCCCGCCGGAGGUACGAAACUCUGUAUUAUAGUGGCAUCUCUGAGUAUAAAACAAAUAAGUUAAAACUUUCAACAACGGAUCUCUUGGUUCUGGCAUCGAUGAAGAACGCAGCGAAAUGCGAUAAGUAAUGUGAAUUGCAGAAUUCAGUGAAUCAUCGAAUCUUUGAACGCACAUUGCGCCCGGUAGUACUCUACCGGGCAUGCCUGUUCGAGCGUCAUUUCAACCCUCAAGCCCUGCUUGGUGUUGGGGCCCUACGGCUGCCGUAGGCCCUGAAAGGAAGUGGCGGGCUCGCUACAACUCCGAGCGUAGUAAUUCAUUAUCUCGCUAGGGAGGUUGCGGCGUGCUCCUGCCGUUAAAGACCCAUCUUUAACCAAGGUUGACCUCGGAUCAGGUAGGAAUACCCGCUGAACUUAAGCAUAUCAAUAAGCGGAGGAAAAGAAACCAACAGGGAUUGCCCUAGUAACGGCGAGUGAAGCGGCAACAGCUCAAAUUUGAAAUCUGGCUUCGGCCCGAGUUGUAAUUUGUAGAGGAUGCUUUUGGUGAGGUGCCUUCUGAGUUCCCUGGAACGGGACGCCAGAGAGGGUGAGAGCCCCGUAUAGUCGGCCACCGAUCCUUUGUAAAGCUCCUUCGACGAGUCGAGUAGUUUGGGAAUGCUGCUCAAAAUGGGAGGUAUAUCUCUUCUAAAGCUAAAUAUAGGCCAGAGACCGAUAGCGCACAAGUAGAGUGAUCGAAAGAUGAAAAGCACUUUGAAAAGAGGGUUAAAUAGCACGUGAAAUUGUUGAAAGGGAAGCGCUUGUGACCAGACUUGUGCCGGGCUGAUCAUCCAGUGUUCUCACUGGUGCACUCGACCCGGCUCAGGCCAGCGUCGGUUUUCGUGGGGGGAUAAAAGCUUCGGGAACGUGGCACCUUCGGGUGUGUUAUAGCCCGUUGCUUAAUACCUCCGUGGAGACCGAGGU
rnacentral:rRNA from 1 species